rnacentral:rRNA from 1 species
AUUGAACGCUGGCGGCAGGCCUAACACAUGUAAGUCGAGCGGAUGAAGGGAGCUUGCUCCUGGAUUCAGCGGCGGACGGGUGAGUAAUGCCUAGGAAUCUGCCUGGUAGUGGGGGAUAACGUCCGGAAACGGGCGCUAAUACCGCAUACGUCCUGAGGGAGAAAGUGGGGGAUCUUCGGACCUCACGCUAUCAGAUGAGCCUAGGUCGGAUUAGCUAGUUGGUGGGGUAAAGGCCUACCAAGGCGACGAUCCGUAACUGGUCUGAGAGGAUGGUCAGUCACACUGGAACUGAGACACGGUCCAGACUCCUACGGGAGGCAGCAGUGGGGAAUAUUGGACAAUGGGCGAAAGCCUGAUCCAGCCAUGCCGCGUGUGUGAAGAAGGUCUUCGGAUUGUAAAGCACUUUAAGUUGGGAGGAAGGGCAGUAAGUUAAUACCUUGCUGUUUUGACGUUACCAACAGAAUAAGCACCGGCUAACUUCGUG